rnacentral:misc_RNA from 1 species
AAGUCGUAACAAGGUUUCCGUAGGUGAACCUGCGGAAGGAUCAUUAUUGAAACUUCUUUGGAAAUAGUACUGUUGCUGGCCUUGUAAUGAGGUAUGUGCACGUCUAUUACCAAUCUAUUCAUCCACCUGUGCACUUUUUGUAGGAGUUCAUUUGAGGCUAUUUUGUACUUGUGCAAUUUGGCUUUGAAAGGCUUCUAUGUUCUUAUAAACCCAUUAGUAUGUCUCUGAAUGUUUUUUAUUGGGACUUGAUUGGCCCUUUAAACUUGUACAACUUUUAGCAACGGAUCUCUUGGCUCUCC